AGAACAUAUUUCGCAUAGUUCGCUCUCAGCGAUUGCCUACCUUUCACGCAUGAAGCCGGUUCGGGGGACUCCAUCGCGGCGACCGCGCGCAGUGGGCGUUCACUGUACGUAUUUGGUAAAGAGAUAGCGUCUGUAAACCAUUCUGUGUUUUAUGUAUGUGCAAGAUUAUUAUUUUGACAGUAAAAAGCUUCCCUCGUUUCGAGAGCACUUACAGAAAUGUCCAGGAGGGCUUCCGUGUGGUGUUUUUAUUGAGCGCCGACAGCGAAACUUAUGAAGAGCGCACCGCGUUAUCCCUUAUAGUACGCAAACGAGGCGCUUCUGACAGAUGGCGACUCCUGUAUAUUCAAAGCA
rnacentral:lncRNA from 1 species